rnacentral:rRNA from 1 species
UGGGGAAUAUUGCACAAUGGGCGAAAGCCUGAUGCAGCAACGCCGCGUGCGGGAAGAAGGCCUUAGGGUUGUAAACCGCUUUCAGCAGGGAAGAAACUGACGGUACCUGCAGAAGAAGGUGCGGCCAACUACGUGCCAGCAGCCGCGGUGACACGUAGGCACCAAGCGUUGUCCGGAUUUAUUGGGCGUAAAGAGCUCGUAGGCGGUUCAGUAAGUCGGGUGUGAAAACUCUGGGCUCAACCCAGAGACGCCACCCGAUACUGCUGUGACUUGAGUACGGUAGGGGAGUGGGGAAUUCCUGGUGUAGCGGUGAAAUGCGCAGAUAUCAGGAGGAACACCAGUGGCGAAGGCGCCACUCUGGGCCGUAACUGACGCUGAGGAGCGAAAGCGUGGGUAGCAAACA